CUGGCUGUGCUCAUAUUUCUUGCCCACCUUUGCAGUGGCAUCACAGGACUAGUAUCAUGCAUGCAAGAGGGAACAAAUUUCUUAGAAGCUAAUCCCAUACUCUGGGGAGAACUUUCAGAGUUCGACUCCAAAUUUACAGGACUUGAAGAGAUGUUGAAGUAAGUGUACCUGCUGACACAUGAACAUGAGUGAAGCUGACAUUAAAAAAAAAAAAGGCAGAUAAGCAAGCGAACUACCAGUAUUACUCAUUGCUACAAAAUGUAGUGAAGGAGCAAGGCAUGUCCUUAAAGAAUGUGUAUUUAGGAUUCACUGGAAAAUGGACACAGGAGAGGAAUUCACAUCCAAAGAAGAAGGAAAAAGGCCUUUCUGUGACUGCAACACCACCCAUUAUUGAAUCAUAUCCUAGGUAGCCUGGCUUCUACAGAGUGGAAAAAAGACUAUUUGAAACAGUAUUUGAAUUUUAUCACUGCCUAUGACAGUUGGCAGCCCUUCCCAAAGCAUAAGUAACACUGCCAUGAUCUUUGUACCAUUGGUUUUGUGAUCCAGUGCAGCAAAGAAGCAGAGAAAAUGUCUGGGUGGAAAAAAAAGGCAUGAAGUUCACAGGUAUCAGUUUAGAACUAGAAAAUUGAAA